UACGUAGGUGGCAAGCGUUGUCCGGAUUUACUGGGCGUAAAGAGCGCGCAGGCGGUCAGAUAAGUCGAAUGUGAAAGCCCCGGCUCAACUGGGGAGGUCAUUCGAUACUGUUCGACUCGAAGGCAGGAGAGGGAAGUGGAAUUCCCGGUGUAGCGGUGAAAUGCGUAGAUAUCUGGAGGAACACCGGUGGCGAAGGCGGCAUCCUGGACCGGUAUUGACGCUGAGGCGCGAAAGCCAGGGGAGCAAGCGGG
rnacentral:rRNA from 1 species